AAAUCUCCCUGCCUCCAGCAGCUCAUCCUUCCCUCUCUAACAUACUUACUCCUUGCAGGCUGUCCCAGCUCCUCAUAGCCAUCUGCCACCACUGGCAGGUGAGGAGCGAGGAAGAGGAGCCAAGCGGGGACAGGAGAAGAAGGUCACAGUGGGGGCGGCGGGGAAGAUGGCUGUGGAGAUACCUAGUAAGCAUCAAAGACUUCAGAGUUUUACUGAACACUAAACUUCAUAUUUCUUUGAAGAUCCUCCCUAGAUUUGUAAGUUUGAAUAAUAAUCAAAUACCUAUUUCAAUUAGUUUUUAAUUUCAUUUCAUGCCCAAAGAUUCAUGGAUUUAUUAAUUAAAAUGAUAUAAGGAAACCUGUAUAUUUGAAGGGUCAAGCCACUAGGGUAUACAAUGUUUUGGCCUAUGACAAUUUGAAAAUAUUGUAGUUAGUUUCUGAAAGCAUUGGAAAUAUCACUGUACAUUUAUUAAUCAUAUUUUUUUGUAGUCUGAAUUUCCCUGCUAAUUUAUUUCUGCUAGUG
rnacentral:lncRNA from 1 species